CAUGAAGUCGGAAUUGCUAGUAAUGGCGUGUCAGCCAUAACGCCGUGAAUACGUUCUCGGGCCUUGUACACACCGCCCGUCACAUCAUGGGAGUUGGUUUUACCUUAAGUCGUUGACUCAACCUAUUUAUAGGAGAGAGGCGCCCAAGGUGAGGCUGAUGACUGGGAUGAAGUCGUAACAAGGUAGCCCUACCGGAAGGUGGGGCUGGAUCACCUCCUUUU
rnacentral:rRNA from 1 species